rnacentral:misc_RNA from 1 species
GACUUGGAGGUCAUGGGUUCAUACCACAGAAACAGCCUCCCUGCAAGAGGUAAGGCUGCAUUACAUCAACCUUUCCCAAAACCCAAAUGGGAUGUUUCAUGCACUAGGUCACCCUUUUAUUAAAUUCAGGUCUUGUAACUUAAAAACAAGCAAUUCCAUUACAUUUUCUCUAGAUUAAUUGUUCAUCCCCAUAAUUAUAAGUUCAUUUUAGCUAAAAAAUUUAAUUAAAAUUUUCAUUAACUUAAUCAAAAUUUUAAUUUCUAACUAAAAGAAUUAUACUUUUUUA